CCUUCCAACCCAUAUUUGGGGGUUAUAAUCUCUUGUUAUAAAUAUUAUUUAAAUAAUCGAUAGGUUGCAGUUGAUUGUAGUUUACAAAGGAGAGUGGAUGCUUAUCUUGCUGACUACCUUUUUCAUAAAUCUAAGAGUUUAAAUGUUUUACAAGAUAAUGGGAUUUCAAGAUCAAGCAAUAGUGUUAGUAUAGCCACCAAUAAAGGUGUCUUCGAGCAACCAGAACCCCUGAAUCUUUGUAGUUCUUCAUGGAGAGAAUUACUAGGUGAAGAAACUUGCAGCGUCAUGAUUAGAAGCUUGCUUCGAAGGUUUAUCUUCUGAAUUCAUCCCUGUUGUUGAAAAAUGCGGAUUUAUCGCUCGGGAGAUUAGAGAAUAGGCUAUUAUAUCUUGUACUUUAUAUUGUUAAUAAUAGAGUUGCAUUUUAUAUACAACAGGAAUGCUCGAACGGAAGAAAAAUGUUGGAGUUUCGCCAAAGUCUUCCAGCAUAUAAGGAGAAAGAUGCACUAAUAACAGGUGUAACAUGUAAUCAGAUUUUCUUCUUAUUGUGCCGAAAGAGCUACUUUCUCAUAGACCAGAGUUAAGUUGAUAUUGAUGAGUGCGACAUUACUCUAAGCUAUUCUCUUCUUAUUUUGGUGGUGCUCUUGUGGUGAACAUCGUGGAAGAAUAUGCUCAGCAGGUUGGUUUGUGUCUGCACCCUUGUCAAGCCAUGAUGAAUUGAAAAAGGAGCGUGUUACAAUGUCUACUCCCAAAAUAUUUGCACGGAGUUUACAGAUGGAACCAACUUUGUGAUGGAAGUUGUUCCUCAUUUGAAGAAUCUCCUUCCGUACCAUUACACAAAUAGGAGGUUGUCAGACAUAAAAUCUCAUUAGUUGUGUUGGAGAGGGAGUUGCAUCCAAACUAUCAACGACCUACAUUAUAAACGUACUUAUGGGUCCGUAUUGUGUAUUAUAUAUUUCGUAUAUUGCAACUCGAAUUUUAGCAUACCUUUGCUAGCAUUGAAUUUUCAUAAAUUUGGAAUGCUCGUCUUUUUUAUAACAUAUUUGUA